UUCAUUACUGUUCACAGAGAUUUCUCAGAGAAAUUUGAAAAUGCCAAGAAAAGUAGGAAUGGUAUUUAAGGCUCUGGCCAACUUUAGAUUUGAAUAUAGAUGUUUGAUCUAAUCCUUCUCAAAAUGUGUGUUCUAAAGCAGAUGCUGAUAACUGGAACAGACAUCCCAAUGAACACAUCCGUGCACACAGGAAUGCACAAGCAAUGGUGGGAGGCAUCAGACCCUUCUGAUGCCUGAAGUCCCUUGGCUGGACCUCCCACUGCUGCCACCUUAAGCACCAGACACGUUGCUCUUUUUGUGGAUAGAAGUCCCAGUUGGCUUGCUGCUCUUCCAGGAUAUUGUUUUGGAGCUAUGGAUGCUAUGGAUCAUUCAGGUAGUGUGGCUGCUGCUGAUGGGCACUAGAACAUCUUUAGGAAUAAGGGACCACAUCUCUCCCAUAAGCCCUUUCUCAUUACUUUAACCCUAAUUAGCGGGCUACAUAAUCUUGCUGGUGGAUUCCUAAAAUUGUGUGUGUGUGUGUGUGUGUGUGUAUAUAUCUCCAAUGGACUUCAUUUUGUUUAUUAUAUGUGGUGCUGAGAUCGAACCCAGGGCCUCACACAUGCUAGGCAAGCGCUUUACCAUGGUGCCACAAUCCCAGCCCCCUAAAAUUGUCCUUUUGUUGUUGUUGUUUUUCCCUAAAAUUGUGUAUUAAAAGACUUUCCUACCUCCCUCCUUUCCUUCCACUGCCACACCAAACGUAAAUCCAUUCCCUCCCUGACCUAAAGGACUGCUUUAACAAUGCCACUUUCCUGUUUAAGAACCAUAAUAGACAACUAGUGAAUAUCUAUUUAGUCUCUUCCAUCUUUAGAUCUAGCUUUCACUCCCUGUCCUUUCUCCUCCCUCCAACCCGUUAUCAGUCUUCCCUAUUCCUGUUUAAAGCUUCUAUUCUAGUUCAACAGGGCUACUUGCAUUGAUUUGUUAAUACACGA